rnacentral:rRNA from 1 species
UAGCGUAUAUUAAAGUUGUUGCGGUAAAAAAGCUCGUAGUUGGAUUUCUGUUGAGGGCGUCCGGUCCGUACCACGUACGCGUAUCUGGGUCGCGCUCGGCAUCCUCUCGGAAAACGGUUCUGCGCUUGAUUGCGUGGUCCGGAUUUCGGGACUUUUACUUUGAGGAAAUUAGAGUGUUCACGGCAGGCAAUUGCCCGAAUACAUUAGCAUGGAAUAAUUCUAUAGGACUUUGGUUCUAUUUUGUUGGUUUCUAGGACUAAAGUAAUGAUUAAUAGGGACAAUUGGGGGCAUUCGUAUCAACACGCU